rnacentral:rRNA from 1 species
GAUGAACGCUGGCGGCGUGCCUAAUACAUGCAAGUCGAGCGAAAAGACGAGGAGCUUGCUCCUCUGACGUUAGCGGCGGACGGGUGAGUAACACGUGGAUAACCUACCUAUAAGACUGGGAUAACUUCGGGAAACCGGAGCUAAUACCGGAUAAUAUAUUGAACCGCAUGGUUCAAUAGUGAAAGACGGUUUUGCUGUCACUAAUAGAUGGAUCCGCGCCGCAUUAGCUAGUUGGUAAGGUAACGGCUUACCAAGGCAACGAUGCGUAGCCGAGCUGAGAGGGUGAUCGGCCACACUGGAGCUGGGACGCGGUCCAGACGCCUACGGGAGGCAGCAGUAGGGAAUCUUCCGCAAUGGGCGAAAGCCUGACGGAGCAACGCCGCGUGAGUGAUGAAGGUCUUCGGAUCGUAAAACUCUGUUAUUAGGGAAGAACAAAUGUGUAAGUAACUAUGCACGUCUUGACGGUACCUAAUCAGAAAGCCACGGCUAACUACGUG